GAGGGAAGGAUAAGCUGUGUGAAGCUGACACCCCACCCACGUCAAAAACUUCAGCAAAUAGUCUGAAUGGUUAGUGCUCCGUUUGUGCAGGUUUGUGCCGUUAAAAUUUUCGUUUGUGCAGUUUUGGUUUCUGAGAUAUUAAAAAUUAUUUUUUAGGUCAUCCAGAGUUCACCAUCCCCCCAUAUCGCUCCAAAACAAACCAAAGUGGGCUACUUCGUUAGUGCUCCGUUUGUGCAGGUUUGUGCAGUUAAAACUGUCGUUUGUGCACCUUCCGUCUUUGAGAUAUUAAAAGUUAUAAUUUUGCCGAUGACGUCACCAUCACCCCAUCUUGCUCCAAAACAAACCGAAGUGGGCUACUUCGUUUAAAUUCUUCAGAUUUUCAGCUGUUGUACAAUAUGUACCUUCUUUUGUUUUGAACUUCAAUAAAGAUUUAGAACAAGAAGAAAUUUGUCUAAUUUCAAGAAAUGUUUUAAGAUAUGCUAGUUGCUUGAGCAAAGUUUUUGCAGAGUAAACUGGAAGUGCGUCACUGGUUCAACAAAGUUCAUCCAAGUAAUGUACUUAAUAUUUAGUAAAUAUAUUUUAAAUGCAACAAUUUUCAUUUCAUCCUGUUUGACAUUAAAUGUCCGGUUUACUCUGCAAAAACUUUGCUCAAGCAACUAGCAUAUUAGCUAUGGAUUUUUUUAUUAUUAUUUUUACCCGUUUGCUGCAUAAUCAGCAGAAAGUAAGUCAACAAUGUAAAUAUAAUUGUUCAGACCACCUCCGAAACCAAAGCACAGUUGAACAGGUUAUACACAUUACGUUAGGGUCAUGGCUGCAUGUCCUUUAUUUCA